GGAUAGGCCUCUGGAAAGUCUCGUAAAGAGCACCGAAGGAGCAAUACAUAUGGAAGGCCAUAUGUAGAAGCUCUCAGGUAGAAAAACAGAGGAGUUGUG
rnacentral:ncRNA from 2 species